rnacentral:rRNA from 1 species
UACGUAGGGGGCUAGCGUUGUCCGGAAUCAUUGGGCGUAAAGAGCGUGUAGGCGGCCAGACAGGUCCGUUGUGAAAACUCGAGGCUCAACCUCGAGAUGUCGAUGGAAACCGUCUGGCUAGAGUCCGGAAGAGGAGAAUGGAAUUCCUGGUGUAGCGGUGAAAUGCGCAGAUAUCAGGAAGAACACCCGUGGCGAAGGCGGUUCUCUGGGACGGUACUGACGCUGAGACGCGAAAGCGUGGAGAGCGAACAGG